CAUCUCUUUUUGAAUUUUAUUUAAGGUUUAAUCUGCUCAAUGAGUUUUAAAUUGCCGCGGUAUUUUGACCGUGCAAAGGUAGCAUAAUAAUUAGUUUCUUAAUUAGAAGCUUGAAUGAAUGAUUGGACGAGAAAAUUUCUGUCUCUUUUUAAUUUUUUUUUGAAUUUUAUUUUUAAGUAAAAAAGCUUAAAUUUAAAUAAAAGACGAGAAGACCCUAUAGAGUUUAAUAUUUAAUUUUUAUUAAAUGUUAGUAUUCACUUUAAAAAUUGUUUAUUUAGUUGGGGUGACUGGAGGAUUAAUAAAAUUCCUUUUUUUAAAAAGUUGAUGAUUAUUAAAUUUGUUAUCUGAAUUUUUCAAAUAAAAAAUAAAUUACCUUAGGGAUAACAGCGUAAUUUUUCUUUAGAGUUCUUAUUGAAAGAAGAUUUUGCGACCUCGAUGUUGGAUUAAAAUAAAUUUUAGGCGUAGAAGCUUAAGAAUUAGGUCUGUUCGACCUUUAAAAUUUUACAUGAUCUGAGUUUAAACCGGCGUAAGCCAGGUUGGAUUCUAUCUUUAAUAAAAAAAAAUAAUUUAGUACGAGAGGACCAGUUAUUUAUUAUAAAUUAAUUG
rnacentral:rRNA from 1 species